rnacentral:rRNA from 1 species
AGAUUGAACGCUGGCGGCAUGCCUUACACAUGCAAGUCGAACGGUAACGCGGGGCAACCUGGCGACGAGUGGCGAACGGGUGAGUAAUGCAUCGGAACGUGCCCAGUAGUGGGGGAUAGCCCGGCGAAAGCCGGAUUAAUACCGCAUACGACCUAAGGGUGAAAGCGGGGGACCGUAAGGCCUCGCGCUAUUGGAGCGGCCGAUGUCAGAUUAGGUAGUUGGUGGGGUAAAAGCCUACCAAGCCUACGAUCUGUAGCUGGUCUGAGAGGACGACCAGCCACACUGGGACUGAGACACGGCCCAGACUCCUACGGGAGGCAGCAGUGGGGAAUUUGGACAAUGGGCGCAAGCCUGAUCCAGCCAUGCCGCGUGCGGGAAGAAGGCCUUCGGGUUGUAAACCGCUUUUGUCAGGAAAGAAAUCCUUUGGACCAAGUACCCCGUAGGGACUAGACGGUACCUGGAGAAUAAGCACCGGCUAACUACGUGCAGCAGCCGC